GGACGAACGCUGGCGGCGUGCUUAACACAUGCAAGUCGAACGGAGAAUUUAUUUCGGUAAAUUCUUAGUGGCGAACGGGUGAGUAACGCGUGGGCAACCUGCCCUUCAGAUGGGGACAACAUCCCGAAAGGGGUGCUAAUACCGAAUACGAUCACGCUGCCGCAUGGCGGUGUGAUGAAAGAUGGCCUCUAUUUAUAAGCUAUCGCUGAAGGAUGGGCCUGCGUCUGAUUAGCUAGUUGGUGGGGUAACGGCCUACCAAGGCGAUGAUCAGUAGCCGGUCUGAGAGGAUGAACGGCCACAUUGGGACUGAGACACGGCCCAAACUCCUACGGGAGGCAGCAGUGGGGAAUAUUCCGCAAUGGACGAAAGUCUGACGGAGCAACGCCGCGUGAGUGAUGAAGGUUUUCGGACUGUAAAACUCUGUUGUUUAGGACGAAAGUGCCUGUUGCAAAUAGUUGCAGGUAUUGACGGUACUGAACGAGGAAGCCACGGCUAACUACGUGCCAGCAGCCGCGGUAAUACGUAGGUGGCAAGCGUUGUCCGGAAUUAUUGGGCGUAAAGAGCAUGUAGGUGGAUACUUAAGUCUGUUGUGAAAAUGCGGGGCUCAACCCCGUAUUGCGAUGGAAACUGGGUGUCUUGAGUGCAGGAGAGGAAAGGGGAAUUCCCAGUGUAGCGGUGAAAUGCGUAGAUAUUGGGAGGAACACCAGUGGCGAAGGCGCCUUUCUGGACUGUGUCUGACACUGAGAUGCGAAAGCUAGGGGAGCGAACGGGAUUAGAUACCCCGGUAGUCCUAGCCGUAAACGAUGGGUACUAGGUGUAGGGGGUAUCGACCCCCCCUGUGCCGGAGUUAACGCAAUAAGUACCCCGCCUGGGGAGUACGGCCGCAAGGUUGAAACUCAAAGGAAUUGACGGGGGCCCGCACAAGCGGUGGAGCGUGUUCUUUAAUUCGAGGAUAAGCGAAGAACCUUACCCAGGCUUGACAUCCUUGGAAGGCUUCCGAAAGGAAACUGUGCCUUCGGGAACCAAGUGACAGGUGUUGCAUGGCCGUCGUCAGCUCGUGUCGUGAGAUGUUUGGUUAAGUCCAUCAACGAGCGCAACCCUUGUGAUUAGUUGGAUUUUUCUAAUCAGACUGCCCCGGUAACGGGGAGGAAGGAAGGGAUGAUGUCAGGUCAGUAUUACCCUUACGUCUGGGGCUAGAAACACGCUACAAUGGCCAGUACAAAGGGCAGCCAAGGCGCGAGCCGGAGCAAAUCCCAUCAAAGCUGGUCUCAGUUCGGAUAGCAGGCUGAAACUCGCCUGCUUGAAGCCGGAAUCGCUAGUAACGGUGAGUCAGCACAUCACCGUGAAUACGUUCCCGGGUCU
rnacentral:rRNA from 1 species